rnacentral:rRNA from 1 species
AUUGAACGCUGGCGGCAUGCUUUACACAUGCAAGUCGAACGGCAGCGCGGGCUUCGGCCUGGCGGCGAGUGGCGAACGGGUGAGUAAUACAUCGGAACGUGCCCAGUAGUGGGGGAUAGCUCGGCGAAAGCCGGAUUAAUACCGCAUACGACCUGAGGGUGAAAGCGGGGGAUCUUCGGAACUCGCGCUAUUGGAGCGGCCGAUGGCAGAUUAGCUAGUUGGUGGGGUAAAGGCCUACCAAGGCGACGAUCUGUAGCUGGUCUGAGAGGACGACCAGCCACACUGGGACUGGGACACGGCCCAGACUCCUACGGGAGGCAGCAGUGGGGAAUUUUGGACAAUGGGCGAAAGCCUGAUCCAGCAAUGCCGCGUGUGUGAUGAAGGCCUUCGGGUUGUAAAGCACUUUUGGCGGGAACGAAAAGGACUGUGCCAAUACCACGGUUCGAUGACGGUACCCGCAGAAUAAGCACCGGCUAACUACGUG